rnacentral:sRNA from 1 species
AACUGAUCCUGCUACAGCUCCACCAUGAAGUUCUUCAUGGUCCUGCUGCUGGCCAGCCUAGCCUCCACCUCUCUCGCCAACCUAAUCCCUAGCGCCAAUGAUGUCUUGAGGCCCUAAUGACGAGGGUGCCUGAAUUCCAGGCUGGGCUGUGGGAG